UGCAGGUAAAACUUCUUGGCAGAUACGGAUAGCCUCUCCUCGCACAUCUUCCUUCUCCACCUCUGGCAAGCCGUAGAGUCUCAGGUUCCAUUUUCUUGUGUAUUGUUCCAGAUCAUUGAGACGUCUAUAGUAGACAUUGUUAUUCUUUUCCACCCUUUCCACAUUUUUUUCAACUUUUGCCACUCUCGUUUUCACAUCAUUAAUUUCACCACAUGCAAACUCCACAGUCUUUUUCAAGCCUUCGAUAACCAUGGUGUUCGCGUCUACCAUUUUCUCAAUGGCGUCACACCUGGAGUUGAUGAGUAAGGAGAGGGUAGCCACGAUGUCAGAGUUCAUGUUGGGUUUUUUGGAGGGUGGAGGUUUGCACGGAGUAACCGGUAAAGAGGGGAAUUCGUCAUCUUCAGCAUUCGAAAGCAUGAUAUUAUCCAUAGGCCAAGUGUAGUUAUGGCAGUUGUCUAAAAGCACGUUUCUCUCUUGUUGAUUAG